GACUUCGUAGCUCAGCUGGUAGAGCAAAUGACUCUUAAUCAUUGGGUCGAGGGUUCGAUCCCCUCCGAGGUCA
rnacentral:tRNA from 4 species